rnacentral:rRNA from 1 species
CAGCAGCCACGGUAAUACAGAGGUCCCGAGCGUUGUUCGGAUUCACUGGGCGUAAAGGGUGUGUAGGAGGUUGGAUAAGUCAGGUGUGAAAUCCCGCAGCUCAACUGCGGAACUGCAUUCGAUACUGUUCAACUAGAGGAUCGGAGGGGGAAGCGGAAUUCUUGGUGUAGCGGUGAAAUGCGUAGAUAUCGGAAGGAACACCUGAGGCGAAAGCGGCUCACUGGACCAUAACUGACGCUGAGGCGCGAAAGCUAGGGGAGCAAACAGGAUUAGAUACCCCUGUAGUCCCUGUCUCUUAUAC